AGAGUUUGAUCCUGGCUCAGAGCGAACGCUGGCGGCGUGCUUAACACAUGCAAGUCGAACGAGGUCUGUAGCAAUACAGAUACUCGUGGCGAACGGGUGCGUAACACGUGGAUAACCUUCCUUCAGGUGGGGAAUAACCCAGUGAAAAUUGGGCUAAUACCGCAUAACAUGACGAUGCCACAUGGUGUUGUCUUCAAAGGCGCAAGUCGCCAGAAGAGGGAUCCGCGGCCGAUUAGCUAGUUGGCGAGGUAAUGGCUCACCAAGGCAAUGAUCGGUAGCCGGACUGAGAGGUUGGCCGGCCACACUGGAACUGAGACACGGUCCAGACUCCUACGGGAGGCAGCAGUGGGGAAUCUUGCACAAUGGACGAAAGUCUGAUGCAGCAACGCCGCGUGGGGGAUGAAGCUUUUCGGAGUGUAAACCCCUUUCGACCCG
rnacentral:rRNA from 1 species